rnacentral:rRNA from 1 species
CUUACAGGGUGGGCUACACACGUGCUACAAUGGCUACUACAGAGGGUUAAUCCUUAAAAGUAGUCUCAGUUCGGAUUGUCCUCUGCAACUCGAGGGCAUGAAGUUGGAAUCGCUAGUAAUCGCGGAUCAGCAUGCCGCGGUGAAUACGUUCCCGGGCCUUGUACACACCGCCCGUCACACCAUGGGAGUUGGUUCUACCCCGAA